ACAGCGAAUUCCGAAAAGCUGAAACAGAGUAGGAA
rnacentral:ncRNA from 1 species